AUUGAACGCUGGCGGCAGGCCUAACACAUGCAAGUCGAGCGGAUGAAGGGAGCUUGCUCCUGGAUUCAGCGGCGGACGGGUGAGUAAUGCCUAGGAAUCUGCCUGGUAGUGGGGGAUAACGUCCGGAAACGGGCGCUAAUACCGCAUACGUCCUGAGGGAGAAAGUGGGGGAUCUUCGGACCUCACGCUAUCAGAUGAGCCUAGGUCGGAUUAGCUAGUUGGUGGGGUAAAGGCCUACCAAGGCGACGAUCCGUAACUGGUCUGAGAGGAUGAUCAGUCACACGGGAACUGAGACACGGUCCAGACUCCUACGGGAGGAAGCAGUGGGGAAUAUUGGACAAUGGGCGAAAGCCUGCUCCAGCCAUGCCGCGUGUGUGAAGAAGGUCUUCGGAUUGUAAAGCACUUUAAGUUGGGAGGAAGGGCAGUAAGUUAAUACCUUGCUGUUUUGACGUUACCAACAGAAUAAGCACCGGCUAACUUCGUG
rnacentral:rRNA from 1 species